UGAUGACAGAAGAUUCAGAAUGAGUGUGGUGUGUUCACUGGUUAACGAAAUGUCUUUCCUGAUGGAAGAGAAAGGUCACAGAUGACUGCAGGAUGGCAAUAGUCCUGAGGAAAAGUGUUCCUAGUUAAAGUGUACCAGUUUGUUCAGAGUGCUUUUCCACCUAAAAUGCACACUAGGAUACUGUAAGCCACCUCUUACUUCCAGCAUGUUCUCAAUAAGAUUUUAAAGAUAUUGCUUAUGAUCAGUUGGUGUUCUAAGUUGCAAGCAAAAGAAAUCAACACUGGACAAUGAAGCAGAAAAUGAUUUGUGAUAAAACCAUUGGAUACUUCAUAUGCUCUUCAGAAUGACCAAAGAAAGCCCACACAACCAGGAAAAAGAAAAAACUCUUCCAGAAUAAUGCUGCAUAACUGAUCAGAAGGAAAACUCCUCUGUUGUUGCUGCCAGCAUGACUAGGACUGAGCUUUAACUAAAAUAGUGACAACAGACACUUGGCCCUGAAUAAAGCUGCUUGA